AGAGUUUGAUCAUGGCUCAGGAUGAAUGCUGGCGGCGUGGAUAAGGCAUGCAAGUCGAACGGUCCGCAAGGACAGUGGCAGACGAGGUAGUAACACGUAUGAACGUACCCUGUAGUCUGGCAUAGCUCGUCGAAAGACGGGGUAAUUCCAGAUGGUCUCGCAAGAGUAAAGAUUUAUCGCUACAGGAGCGGCAUGCAUAAUAUCAGCUUGUUGGUAAGGUAAUGGCUUACCAAGGCUACGACGUUUAGGGGAGCUGAGAGGCUGACCCCCACCGAUGGGACUGAGAUACGGCCCAUACUCCUACGGGAGGCUGCAGUCAAGAAACUUCCGCAAUGGACGCAAGUCUGACGGAGCGACGCCGCGUGAUGGACGAAGUACUUCGGUACGUAAACAUCUUUUAUGAGGGACGAAAUUAUUGACGGUACCUCAGGAAUAAGGGGCUCCUAACUCUGUGCCAGCAGGAGCGGUAAUACAGAGGCCCCAAGCAUUAUCCGGAAUCACUGGGCGUAAAGGGUGUCGAGGCGGUUAUGUUAGUCGUUUGUAAAAUCCUGGAGCUCAACUUCAGGCCCGCAAGCGAAACGGCAUGACUAGAGGUUGGAAGAGGUGCGUGGAACUCACGGUGUAGGGGUGAAAUCCGUUGAUAUCGUGGGGAACACCAAAGGCGAAGGCAGCGCACUGGUCCAAAUCUGACGCUCACACACGAAAGCCAGGGUAGCGAACGGGAUUAGAUACCCUAGUAGUCC
rnacentral:rRNA from 1 species